CUUGAGCUGAUGAAGAUGGGCCGCGCUGGGCCCCCACUUGAGCCACACUGCAGGCCGCAGGCAGGCAAGUCUGGGGACCCCCGUUCCCAGAACGCCGACACCCUCUAAGCUUCCCUAAUUAACGCACCAUCCCCCAUAAAGCCAAAAGGAGGUGGAAAGAAGAUGGCAGGACUCGAUCCGACCUGAGAAAGGCACCGUCUUGGAAUCACCAGCGUCGACCGUGCAUUGCGUGGGGGAGGAACGGUCAGGGCAACAACGAACAUCGGAGGAGCGCAACAUAGGAACUCCAAGUCUCCCGGCACCACCUGGACAGUUUUACUUCACCGAGUUUCGAAGCUCACACAUUCGUCCGAUAGCAACCAACACAAGCGCGCCGAAUUCACACCAUGCUCUCGAUAUUUCUCUUGCAACAACACCCCAACUCAAAAGAUAAUUGGCUUUGCCGAAUCUGAGUCAACUAAGAUUUAACAAAGUCUCAGUCGAUGUGUUGUUCGUAGGAUGUGUAGGAGCCAUUGGACGUUUUUGGUUGACCGCAUUAGGCCCACACCGAGUUGGGCCAAAAAAGUAAGUGGCGACGACGGCUGGAAACCCUCCAAUGGCUGGCGACGGCGGCGACUCAGAUAUGCGCAAGCGGCGGCGGCAGAUGCGGCAACAACACUACCUGGCAGCAGAAGCUGGUGCUCCCCUUCCUGGUGGCCACUGUUGGGUCGUCCUUCACUCAUCCAUGGCCUCCCCUUCGUCGUCAUCGUAUCCGAUGCCGGUAAGCAACACCCCCUCUCCCCUAUGUUAGGUCGGUUGUUAGGAUUGAUUUCCCCAUUGCUCAACGAACCCUCGACGUCGACUAGGUUAUGGACGCACGGAUGAGGCUGGUAGUUCAGUCAGCAUCAUUGAUAGUUGUGAUUCAGGCAUGGCUCAUAAUCAUGCACAGGAGAGAUGUCCGUCGUGCUGAGGGACCUGCAAUCAGUUACGCUCCAAUGCUUAUGCGGGAGAAGGAGGGGAUCGUCAAUCUGAACUACAUCUUGCAAAGACACAGAGGCCCUGUGGAUGCUUUGAAUGAAAAGGGCGCCAUUUGUCAGAUUUUUCCAGACCUUCAGGAGCAGGAGGCUACUACAAGAUAUCAUCCAAACCAGUGUGGAAGAGCAACUGAUCAUGUUCCUCCAUGUUGUUGGCCAUAAGCAGAGGUUCAAAGUUAUGCAGAACACGUUCAUGAGAUCAGUGAAGACCAUCUCAAGGUACUUCAAGCAAGUGUUCUAUGUUGUGGGGAGCUUAGAGGAGAGAUGACCAAGUCACCAACCGGCCGGACUCCUACCAAGAUUCGCACUAGCCCAAGAUGGUAUCCAUACUUCGAGGAUUACAUUGGGGCAAUAGAUGGUACUCAUGUCACUGUUAGAGUGUUGAAGUCACAAGCUAGAGCAUACAGGGGGAGGAAGUACUACACAAGCCAGAAUGUGCUUGCUGUUGACGACUUUGAUUUGAAGUUCACCUAUGUGCUGGUUGGCUCGAAAGGGUCAGCACAUGAUGCUAACAUUAUCAGUGAUAGUAUGAGUCGUCCUAAUGGCAUCAACAUCCCCGAUGGCAAGUUCUACUAGCAGAUGCGGGCUAUGCAUGCCAGCUAGGUAUUCUUCCACCCUUCAUGAAAAACCAGAAAAUCAGUGCCAAAUGGAGUCCAAACGCUAUGAAAACGUUUUGACAUUUUUUUCUGGACAUAAGAGACCCUGGAAACUUCGGGAGGAGACCAGAGAACGUACAAGGAAAUGGCAAGGCAACAGGGCGCACCCUGGGGUGCACCCUAUUACCUCAUGGGACCUCGAGGCUCCGUCUAACCUAAUUCCACUUCAAUAAAUUCUCAAAUAUGGGGAAACCAACGAAGAGACACCCAAAACACUUUUUCCGUCGCCGCAAGUCUCUGUUCUUCCGUGAUCCCAUCUGGAAGCCUUCCUCGGUACUCUGCUGGAGGGAGAAUCAAUCAUGGAGGGCUUCUACAUCAUCCUUACCGUCUUUCGAUGAUACGUGAGUAGUUUAACACAGACCUACCGGUCCAUAGCUAGUAGCUAG